rnacentral:rRNA from 1 species
AUGGCUUCCAAGCUCCAGCUCCCGCGCUCCUUCAUUGCAAUUGUGGUUCUCGCGACGGUUAUCCACCCUUGCACAUCCGUUGAGUUUCACCGCAAGCUCGCCAGUUGGUCUAAUGCCGGCGCGACAUGGUAUGGCGCCGCUAAUGGGGCUGGGAGUGAUGGUGGUGCGUGCGGGUACAAGGGCGCCGUCGACCAGCCACCGUUUUCGUCCAUGAUCGCCGCCGGCGGCCCUUCCCUCUACGCAUCUGGCCUUGGCUGUGGAUCUUGCUACCAGGUGAAAUGCACUGGUAACGCCGCGUGCUCGAGCAGCCCGGUGACGGUCGUCAUCACAGACCAGUGCCCCGGCGGCCCUUGCUUGGAAGAGCCGCACUUCGACCUGAGCGGGACGGCGUUCGGUGCCAUGGCGAAGCCCGGCCAGGCCGACCAGCUGCGCGCCGCGGGUGUCCUCCAAAUCCAGUUCACCCGAGUGCAGUGCAACUGGGAUGGAGUGAAGCUAACCUUCGUCGUGGACGCCGGCUCGAACCCGAACUACUUGGCCGUGCUCGUCCAGUACCAGAACGGCGACGGGAACCUCUCGGGCGUCGAGCUCAUGCAGAGCGGUGCGGCGGCGGCAUGGACGCCGAUGCAGCACUCGUGGGGCGCUGUCUGGAAGCUCGACGCCGGGUCGGCGCUGCAGGCGCCGCUCUCCCUCCGCCUCACGUCCAGCUCUGGCAAGAAGCUCGUCGCCAGCAACGUCAUCCCGCUUGGGUGGAAGGCCGGCUCUGCGUACCAGUCGGCGGUCAAUUACUAA